rnacentral:rRNA from 1 species
UACAGAGGGUGCAAGCGUUACUCGGAAUUACUGGGCGUAAAGCGCGCGUAGGUGGUUCGUUAAGUUGGAUGUGAAAUCCCCGGGCUCAACCUGGGAACUGCAUUCAAAACUGACGAGCUAGAGUAUGGUAGAGGGUGGUGGAAUUUCCUGUGUAGCGGUGAAAUGCGUAGAUAUAGGAAGGAACACCAGUGGCGAAGGCGACCACCUGGACUGAUACUGACACUGAGGUGCGAAAGCGUGGGGAGCAAACAGG